UGCCAGACUCCUACGGGAGGCAGCAGUGGGGGAUAUUGCACAAUGGGGGAAACCCUGAUGCAGCGACGCCGCGUGGGCGAAGAAGUAUUUCGGUAUGUAAAGCCCUAUCAGCAGGGAAGAAGAAAUGACGGUACCUGAGUAAGAAGCACCGGCUAAAUACGUGCCAGCAGCCGCGGUAAUACGUAUGGUGCAAGCGUUAUCCGGAUUUACUGGGUGUAAAGGGAGCGUAGACGGCGACGCAAGUCUGGAGUGAAAGCCCGGGGCCCAACCCCGGGACUGCUCUGGAAACUGCGGCGCCGGAGUACGGGAGGGGCAGGCGGAAUUCCUGGUGUAGCGGUGAAAUGCGUAGAUAUCAGGAGGAACACCGGCGGCGAAGGCGGCCUGCUGGACCGUGACUGACGUUGAGGCUCGAGAGCGUGGGGAGCAAACAGGAUUAGAUACCCGGGUA
rnacentral:rRNA from 1 species